GUCACUAAAAGCAAAGAUGACUAGCAUUAUUACAAGUGUUUGUGUUUCUCUAGUAUGCAUCACAGCUGCAUGUUUUGGUAAAACUGUUUUUCAGUCACCUGGUGACCUCAUAAAGAACAAAGAUGAAUCUGCAGUGAUCAUAUGUGCUCAUAAUAUACCAAAUUAUGACCGUAUUCUUUGGUACAAGAAAGACAUCAUGGGCUUCAAGUUCAUGGGAUACCUUAAUCUUGAAAAUAAAUACCCAGAGUCUGAAUUUGAAAACACGAUCAAUCUGAACGGAGAUGGAAGAAAAAACGGCACUCUGAUUAUCAGCAACCUCAGACUGAACGACAGUGCAGUGUAUUUCUGUGCAGCAUAUGACACAGUGCUCAGAAUCACAUCUGUCUGA